rnacentral:lncRNA from 1 species
AGAGUUCUUUAUUUUAAGAUUGCAUAAAACCAUAAAAAUACUCCAUUAAAAAGUCAGAGGUAAGUUCACUCCCUGCAACUGCAGGAAAAAGUGGUGACCACUUAAAACUGCAUGUUUGCUUAGAAGUAAAUAAACAUACUUUAAAAAUGAAGCGUAAGAGAUAAAUAACCAAUAUAUCCAUGCGAGGGAGUAGUUUGAUUUGCUUGGAAGUACUUAUCCAUUUAAUGUAACGGUGUAAUGGUCCUGUUGAGCAUAGCCAUGGUUCCUACUUUGAAUAUCUGUGUUUUUGAAUCAACUUUUACAUCCUUAUCAGUAAAAUCAAAUACUCUGAAAGCACUUCUAGUCAAAGGCAAAACAUAGCAGUGGAAAACAACACUGCAGCUGCAGGAAAAAUCCAGGAGGGAUGGAGACAACCAGAAAGCUCUGCAGGUGCAAGGGCUUUGCAGUACCAUAUGACCAGCUUGCUGAUUUUACAGGUAUAAGAUAAACAUAGUACCAAUACCUAAUCUAAAAUACUUCCUACUCUGUGAAAACAUGAGUGUAUGACAGUUUUUCCUUAAAAAAAUACACUUUAAAAUGUUGCAAACCGCAUGUAAAUAUUUACAUGUGCAUAUAUACAUAUAGUGUCAAACAGUGCAGUAUUGUCUUCAGGUUUUGCCACACAGUACAUGGAAAGAAAAGUAAUCUUAAGUUGUGCAGACAUAGAGGGAGCUUUCUCUUGCCUUCUCAGAGCUACAUACGGCACUACACAGGUCACGUGAGCUGUGGUGCUUGGAGCUAGCAGAAUCUCACACACACACACACACACACAUCCGACUGCAUUUCUGUGCUUGUAUCUGAGAGAUCACAGACAGAAUUAAAGUCACUUAGUUAACUGCACUUGUAAAUCAGAUCCUACACGUCUAAGGGCCAUAAACUUUGCUAGCAAAGCCACUACGUGAAUGUCUAGCUCUAAAGCCAACGUUUUGGCUGUUUCUCAUACCUUGUUAAUAGGCCAAUUAGGAACCAGUGAAAAAACUAUAUGAUGCAAAUGAUUACUUGUCAUGUCAGCCUAGAGCCAAGUCCAAGAAUUUUUAUAUCGAGGUACCAAAAAAAUUGCAUUCUCAGCUUUUUUGCUACUUGCUUUCUUUAAUCCCUGUGCUAAUAUGCAAGUAUUGAUUGCUUAAGGUACACUGAUAACCCAAAGUUGUGACAUCCCUCUAGCAGAGCAACUGCCUGAGGAUGUACAGGCUUUGGUGGCCUGUGCUUCUCAGGAAGGAGAGAUUUCUUAGCAAUUGCAGCUCAGAAGGAGCUGCCCUGGCCCACAAGGUAACAGACAGCAAAACACAAUGAGAAACUGAUGCCCCUUAGGGAUGACUUCAGCAGAUACAGAAUCACAGAAUCAUAGCAUGGUUUGGGUUGGAAAAGAUCAUCUAGUUCCAACCCCCCUGCCAUGGGCAGGGACACCUCACUCUAGACCAUGUCACCCAAGGCUCUGUCCAACCUGGCCCUGAACACUGCCAGGGAUGGAGCAUUUACCACUUUUUUGGGCAACCUGUGCCGGUGCCUCACCACCCUCACGGUAAAGAACUUCCUUAGACACUAAACAACAGUUCAGAAGCCUAGCUUGUGCUUUGCACGCUACGUCCAUCACUAGAUUUUAGAUUUCUGCUCUCCCCUAAUUAUGCAGCUAUGGUUAUGUGGUAUUCGUACACUGAGUAAUAAAAAGCAAUUACAAAAACAGCAAACAAGG